UAAAAGAUUUAUCGGUUUGGGGUGGGCUCGCGUCCGAUUAGGUAGUUGGUGAGGUAACGGCCCACCAAGCCGACGAUCGGUAGCCGACCUGAGAGGGUGAUCGGCCACAUUGGGACUGAGACACGGCCCAAACUCCUACGGGAGGCAGCAGUGGGGAAUAUUGGGCAAUGGAGGAAACUCUGACCCAGCAACGCCGCGUGGAGGAAGAAGGUUUUCGGAUCGUAAACUCCUGUCCUUGGAGACGAGUAGAAGACGGUAUCCAAGGAGGAAGCCCCGGCUAACUACGUGCCAGCAGCCGCGGUAAUACGUAGGGGGCAAGCGUUGUCCGGAAUAAUUGGGCGUAAAGGGCGCGUAGGCGGCUCGGUAAGUCUGGAGUGAAAGUCCUGCUUUUAAGGUGGGAAUUGCUUUGGAUACUGUCGGGCUUGAGUGCAGGAGAGGUUAGUGGAAUUCCCAGUGUAGCGGUGAAAUGCGUAGAGAUUGGGAGGAACACCAGUGGCGAAGGCGACUAACUGGACUGUAACUGACGCUGAGGCGCGAAAGUGUGGGGUGC
rnacentral:rRNA from 1 species